CCCCCCCACCACUGAUUCUUUCAUCUUCUUCCCUACUCCAUAUCCUCUUCUUCUGGAGAAAGGGAGCAGCCUUUCAUGGCUUCUGUUUAACGAGACAAUCAAGACUGAGCCAGCCGUUUCUCACCAUACCAAAACCAAACGAAAAAACCAAAAAAAAACCUGCUCUUCAUCUUCAUCACACCAAGCAGCCAUAGCCAAGCUCCAUAAAACACCCCAAAAUCCUAGUCAAAACCCAGCUAAAGUCCAGUGAAAUUCCAGCGUGUAAUCACAGUCGAAAAACCCAUGUGAAACGUCACUGCUUCAGCCGCAUACCCGCCAGAUCUCUGACCGGCUUCGUCCGCACUGUCGUCGCCUCCCAUCUCUCGUCCAUUGCUGCUUCAACCUGAAACCAGUCCCAAAAACCAAUACAUGAGGAGGUUUUGAUGUUCGAGUUCGAGGGUCUGUCAAGUUCGGGUUUCCGGCGAGGUCUUUGGUUAACGGAUCUGUUGGUGUCCGGUAUCUUUGGCUCGAUCUUCUUUGUAAACCAGCCGAGAUGUUUUUUUGCUAAUAUUUUGAAACCUAUACAAGGUGUGGGUCUACUUAUCGGAGUUUGAGCAUGACAGACACCCCGGGACCAUCCAGUCAGGAUCGCUUAUUCAAGAGUUGCUUAAGAAGAUCUUUCUUUUUAUUUUUUAUGUUUUGAGUUUUGUACAGUAAUGUCGAGUUUUCUUUAUUAUUGUACUUUCUAUUUUGUAUUUGAAAAAGUGUGAUAUAAAUCCAAAAUCCAAAAAAAGAUGUUGCGUUUUAUAUUUC